rnacentral:rRNA from 1 species
AGUGGCGAAAGGGCGAGGAAUACAUGGAUAACGUGCCUUUGGCAUGGGGACAGCUGAGGGAAACUUCAGGUAAUACCCAAUGAGACCACAGUGCUUUCGGGCACAGGGGUCAAAGAUGGGGCUCCUUCGGGACCUAUCGGCCAUAGAGCGGUCCAUGUCCUAUCAGCUUGUUGGUGAGGUAAUGGCUCACCAAGGCGACGACGGGUACCGGGACUGAGAGGUUGACCCGGCGCAUCGGGACUGAGACACUGCCCGGACUCCUACGGGAGGCUGCAGUAACGAAUAUUGGUCAAUGGGCGAAAGCCUGAACCAGCGACGCCGCGUGUGGGAGGAAGCCCUUCGGGGUGUAAACCACUGUCAGGGAUUACCAAGCAAUGGAGGCUAAUACCCUCCUGCGUUGAGGCGUCCCAGAGGAAGUCACGGCUAACUUCGUGCCAGCAGCCGCGGUAAUACGAAGGUGGCGAGCGUUGUUCGGAAUCACUGGGCUUAAAGAGCACGUAGGCGGACUGCCAAGCGUCUUGUGAAAUCCCCCGGCUCAACCGGGGAAUUGCUGGGCGAACUGGUAGUCUUGAGGCAAGUAGGGGCAGAUGGAACUCUUGGUGGAGCGGUGGAAUGCGUAGAUAUCAAGAGGAACGCCAGAGGCGAAGGCGAUCUGCUGGGCUUGACCUGACGCUGAGGUGCGAAAGCCAGGGGAGCCAAAAG